AUUUACAGACAUUUAAUAAUCAGACAUGAGCAACAUACCUGAUCAAGGUCGUACCAUUAUUUUUUUUAUUGCUACCGGGCCAUACACUAGGUAGUAUCUAGUAAUAUGCCAUACACUAGAUGGUAGUAGGCCAUGCACUAGGUAGUAUCUAGUAAUAUGCCAUACACUAGAUGGUAGUAGGCCAUACACUAGGUAGUAUCUAGUAAUAUGCCAUACACUAGAUGGUAGUAGGCCAUACACUAGGUAGUAUCUAGUAAUAUGCCAUACACUAGAUGGUAGUAGGCCAUACACUAGGUAGUAUCUAGUAAUAUGCCAUACACUAGAUGGUAGUAGGCCAUACACUAGGUAGUAUCUAGUAAUAUGCCAUACACUAGAUGGUAGUAGGCCAUACACUAGGUAGUAUCUAGUAAUAUGCCAUACACUAGAUGGUAGUAGGCCAUACACUAGGUAGUAUCUAGUAAUAUGCCGUACACUAGAUGGUAGUAGGCCAUACACUAGGUAAUAUCUAGUAAUAUGCCAUACACUAGAUGGUAGUAGGCCAUACACUAGGUAGUAUCUAGUAAUAUGCCAUACACUGGAUGGUAGUAGGCCAUACACUAGGUAGUAUCUAGUAAUAUGCCAUACACUAGAUGGUAGUAGGCCAUACACUAGGUAGUAUCUAGUAAUAUGCCAUACACUAGAUGGUAGUAGGCCAUACACUAGGUAGUAUCUAGUAAUAUGCCAUACACUAGAUGGUAGUAGGCCAUACACUAGGUAGUAUCUAGUAAUAUGCCAUACACUAGAUGGUAGUAGGCCAUACACUAGGUAGUAUCUAGUAAUAUGCCAUACACUAGAUGGUAGUAGGCCAUACACUAGGUAGUAUCUAGUAAUAUGCCAUACACUAGAUGGUAGUAGGCCAUACACUAGGUAGUAUCUAGUAAUAUGCCAUACACUAGAUGGUAGUAGGCCAUACACUAGGUAGUAUCUAGUAAUAUGCCAUACACUAGAUGGUAGUAGGCCAUACACUAGGUAGUAUCUAGUAAUAUGCCAUACACUAGAUGGUAGUAGGCCAUACACUAGGUAGUAUCUAGUAAUAUGCCGUACACUAGAUGGUAGUAGGCCAUACACUAGGUAGUAUCUAGUAAUAUGCCAUACACUAGAUGGUAGUAGGCCAUACACUAGGUAGUAUCUAGUAAUAUGCCAUACACUAGAUGGUAGUAGGCCAUACACUAGGUAGUAUCUAGUAAUAUGCCAUACACUAGAUGGUAGUAGGCCAUACACUAGGUAGUAUCUAGUAAUAUGCCAUACACUAGAUGGUAGUAGGCCAUACACUAGGUAGUAUCUAGUAAUAUGCCAUACACUAGAUGGUAGUAGGCCAUACACUAGGUAGUAUCUAGUAAUAUGCCGUACACUAUAUGGUAGUAGGCCAUACACUAGGUAAUAUCUAGUAAUAGGCCAUACACUGGAUGGUAGGUAGUAGGCCAUACACUAGGUAGUAUCUAGUAAUAGGCCAUACACUGGAUGGUAGGUAGUAGGCCAUACACUAGGUAGUAUCUAGUAAUAUGCCAUAAACUAUAUGGUAGUAGGCCAUACACUAGGUAAUAUGCCUCACUCUAAAGGCGCAUUAGAUGGGCCUAGACCUUGCUGUACAGCGGCUACUAUAGCCAUCCC